CAACAAGUGUAUAUAGGAGUCAUGACAAGGAUUUUAAAUCAAAGAUUUCCAUUGCAUAAAAGAGACAUAACCAAUGUUAAAUUGAACAUGGCCCUAGCAAUGAGCAUAUAUGACAAAACUGGCAGGAGAUUGGCAAGAAGCCCCUGUAAUAAAAUCACUGGCAAAAACGCUGCAUAUCACUUUAGCGGAGACUGUGGAGAUUUUUGCAAGGCGGAAAGGACAGAGACUCUUGGGUGAUCGCCCAGCAGUACAAUUGGAUGCUUCUUGGAAGUAUCUACUUGGUGGGAUAGAAGGUUAAACUGAAGAAUUC
rnacentral:lncRNA from 1 species